rnacentral:rRNA from 1 species
GGGUUGUGAGGUUAAGCGACUAAGCGUACACGGUGGAUGCCCUGGCAGUCAGAGGCGAUGAAGGACGUGCUAAUCUGCGAUAAGCGUCGGUAAGGUGAUAUGAACCGUUAUAACCGGCGAUUUCCGAAUGGGGAAACCCAGUGUGUUUCGACACACUAUCAUUAACUGAAUCCAUAGGUUAAUGAGGCGAACCGGGGGAACUGAAACAUCUAAGUACCCCGAGGAAAAGAAAUCAACCGAGAUUCCCCCAGUAGCGGCGAGCGAACGGGGAGGAGCCCAGAGCCUGAAUCAGUAUGUGUGUUAGUGGAAGCGUCUGGAAAG